UGGAUGGAGGCACAUCUUGUCACAAGUGGUGCUGGUAGCAAAAGCUCAGUGGAAGAACCUGCCUGCCUGGGGGCUGUUCACUCCUCUGAGGACCCCAUCUGCAGUGCUACAACCAGAUGUGUCUUUGCAUGAAAUCAAAUUCAAGAUCUGCUCAGCUGAAAACUAGAUGAGCGAGGAACACUCAUUUUCACACAGCACAAAGUUGUAGGCCUCAACAGGAAGCUUUGAAUGUGGUGCCAGCACAACAGCACUGAGAGAAAAUAAGACAAGUACCUCCAAGAUGCAGAAUAUCCAGCAAGUUAUAAAAACAGCAUCACAAGGAGGUCCUAAGAUGGGGCUUGCUCCAGUUUUCCUGCUGAGCAUGUGUUUAGGAAUUGCUGCUAAAAAAAAGUCAGAGAGGAUGGCAGUUCUGUGCUGUCACGUGGCCUGAUACAGUGCAGAAUCUGCUUAGCAUUCUUGAAGGGAAAUUAUCCAGUGCUGCAACUCACAAUUUAUAAUUGGUUGCAUAUUAAUAGCUAAAAAAGGCAAUAAAAUCCACUGUGUGUCUAAAAAAAAAAAAUGUAAGUAGAAGUAUUACAAGCUGAGCAGUGAAAAUCUGGAAGACUUCUUGGCUAGAGCAGGGCUGUGUGCAGCGUUGUUUCUCCUGUAUUAAUUACAAGCAAUUUUAAAUCAUCUCCUUCCUUCAAGGAAGGAUUUUGUUCAGCGUUUUUGUUAAUUUUAAUCUUGCUAGCAUGAUACUCUCUUGCAACCUCUCCCUUGUGUCAUAACAGUGAGACAUGCUGCCUCUUUUGUCCCUGCCCUUUGGGAAACACAGUUACUGCUGCUCAUUGCCUAACCCUGCUGUCGUGACUAUCAGUACACGUCCCUUGAAAGGAAGAGAAACCAAAACCCAGCAGCAGAAUUGUUCUUCCCCCCCCACCCCUGAGUUCACUUUUAUGUGUAGUAUUUAAGCUAGAUUGUGUGAGUGCCUAAAGAAAAUCGGGGGUUUAAAAUGUAUGGUGCUGCUGUAUUAGAGUGGAAAGCUUGUUAUUCAGCACGCUAAUUAUUUCUGAGUCACUGUAUUUAUGAAAUGUCAUGUAAUA